GACGAACGCUGGCGGCGUGCUUAACACAUGCAAGUCGAACGGAAAGUCCCUGCUUUUGUGGGGUGCUCGAGUGGCGAACGUGUGUGUAACACGUGAGUCACCUGCCCUUGACUUUGGGAUAACUUCAGGAAACUUGGGCUAAUACCGGAUAGGAGCUCCUGCUCCAUGGUGGGGGUUGGAAAGUUUCGGCGGUUGGGGAUGGUCUCGCGGCUUAUCAGCUUGUUGGUGGGGUGGUGGCUUACCAAGGCGUUGACGGGUAGCCGGCCUGAGAGGGUGACCGGGCACAAUGGGACUGAGAUACGGCCCAGAAUCCGACGGGAGGCAGCAGUGGGGAAUAUUGCAAAAUGGGGGGAAGCCUGAUGCAGAAAAGCCGCGUGCGGGAUGACGGGCUUCGGGGUGUAAACCGCUUUCGCCUGUGACGAAGAGUGAGUGACGGUAAUGGGUAAAGAAGCACCGGCUAACUACGUG
rnacentral:rRNA from 1 species